rnacentral:rRNA from 1 species
GUCUUGACNUCCUUUGACCNCUCGAGAGANCGAGCUUUCCCUUCGGGGACAAAGUGACAGGUGGUGCAUGGUUGUCGUCAGCUCGUGUCGUGAGAUGUUGGGUUAAGUCCCGCAACGAGCGCAACCCUUAUUACUAGUUGCCAGCAUUCAGUUGGGCACUCUAGUGAGACUGCCGGUGACAAACCGGAGGAAGGUGGGGAUGACGUCAAAUCAUCAUGCCCCUUAUGACCUGGGCUACACACGUGCUACAAUGGAUGGUACAACGAGUCGCGAAGUCGUGAGGCCAAGCUAAUCUCUUAAAGCCAUUCUCAGUUCGGAUUGUAGGCUGCAACUCGCCUACAUGAAGCCGGAAUCGCUAGUAAUCGCGGAUCAGAACGCCGCGGUGAAUACGUUCCCGGGA